GAUCAUGGCUCAGGAUGAACGCUAGCUACAGGCUUAACACAUGCAAGUCGAGGGGCAGCGCAGUGUAGCAAUACAGUGGGCGGCGACCGGCGCACGGGUGCGUAACGCGUAUCCAACCUUCCCGUUACUCAGGGAUAGCCUUCCGAAAGGGAGAUUAAUACCUGAUGGUGUUUGAAUUCCGCAUGUUAUUCAAACUAAAGAUUUAUCGGUAACGGAUGGGGAUGCGUGACAUUAGAUAGUAGGCGGGGUAACGGCCCACCUAGUCUACGAUGUCUAGGGGUUCUGAGAGGAAGGUCCCCCACACUGGAACUGAGACACGGUCCAGACUCCUACGGGAGGCAGCAGUGAGGAAUAUUGGUCAAUGGUCUGACGACUGAACCAGCCAUGCCGCGUGAAGGUCACGGCCCUAUGGGUCUUAAACUUCUUUUGUAAGGGAGCAAUAAGCUUUACGUGUAGAGUGAUGAGAGUACCUUACGAAUAAGCAUCGGCUAACUCCGUG
rnacentral:rRNA from 1 species